UCUAUUACAAAUUAAUUUCAACUCGUAUACUGAUAUCUUGCUCCUACAAAACCUUUACACAUUCAGCUUUCGUGGUAAUUUCAAAUGGAGCUCAUAGAACUCCAAGAACUAAAAUUUUUACUUCAUUUCCAACAAAAACAAAUCAAUUUCAUGUGCUCACAUUACUUCGAUAAUCAUUUGUAAGUGAGCAAUAUGGUUAUGAAUGAGAAAUACGUGUUUUCCACGAUACCUUUAUUUCAGAGCUGUAUUUUAGCAGAGCUACAAACAAAUGUGAGACAACGGCAUGCAGUUAUUUGGGAUUGGAGACAAUAGGGAGAGACGGUCGCUGGCUAGAAUUAACUGCAGGCAUCUGCCAUGUGUUUCUGCACUGCAGAGGAGAAUGUUGUGGCUUUGGUAGGCGCAGGGCUGGGCAGAAACCCUGUUUCUGAAUGGGGGAGCUUUGGGUUUGUUUCCUGUGGCCAACAGGAGGUGCAUUCCCUGAGGAUGUGUGUGCUGGUACAGCAGUUUCAAAAAGAAGUGAGGUGGUGUUUUUAUCCUGACAUCUGUGGUUCCCGUAAAAGUUGAGCAGGUAUUUAGUUAGGUUUAAUACUGCGGUGUUCUCGUUCCAGACCAACAUGGAACUGCAAUAGGAAUGGUUGGCUCUUCUUGCUGUAGGAGCAACAGUGCAUCAAAUUCAAUCAUUGCUGCAGGCGGAAUAGCAAAAGUGGUGCACGGGAAUGCAGGAGGUGAUGUGUUUGGAUGCGGACAGUGCCUUGUGGAAUCCUGCUGAGAACUGGAAGAAAUGCUUGAAAAAACUUGCAAGCGAGACGUCCUUCUGCAUGGCAUGGAAAGGGUUUUCUGCACUGUGAGCACAUUCCCCCUGUAGCAGGUACGGUUGUGGCACAGACCAGAGCCCUGCAUGGCGUUUGUCUUAGGACGAUUGAAGCAAUGAGACGAAGUACUCUGGCAAAUCCAAGGCCUGCCCACCUCCUUCAUCUCGCAGAAAAACACAGGAUUUAAUUUGAGGAGGCAGUGACGAGCAAAUUAUAGAAGGAUGUUGGGGAAGCUGCCUGUAUGGGUGAUGCACAAAGGUUGGACUGCAGGGAGAAUUAAAGCAAACGGGAUGAGAGAGGUCCAUAUGCAUGAACCACGUACAGUUAUUCUUACAAUUACAAGAAAGAUGGUGAUAAUUACCAUGGCAAUUUGCUUCUUUAUGGAUGAGAUUUCUUCAAAUAGAUGCAGAAAUAUCUCCUCUCUGUCUCUGUACUCUUAUGUUUAGCUUUUCUCUGAGAUAAUGGUUUCACAGCAAACAUUUUAAGGAAAUUGACGGUGCUUACAGGAAAGCCUCGAUUUUAGAAAUGUUAGCAUUUUUCACUAGUCAUGUAACUAUCUGUAAAUAAAAAUUUGGCCUCGAUAGUUCCCAUUUCGAAUUUAAUACCCGGGGAGGAUCUUGGUAACUAACACAACCGGGGGAAA